UCUGAGGUUCCUGCUCUGGGGAUGAUUUCACCCCACUGAGAAAGAGGACUGCUCCUGGCCAAUGGACUGGAAGCAGCAGAGCUUCAUGCCCCUCUCCUCAAUCCCCUCUGGGCUCCUUGGACACUGGGAAGAUCCAUCAUCAGCUCCCACCGUCAGCCAGCUCCGGGCCUCAGUUUCCCCUCCUGGUGAAACUUAAAUCAAAGCCACAUGUUCUCCCAACACAGAAGCCCUCGUCACAUGGAGGCACGUCCUGGGCGAAGAGUAACGACUCUGUGGACGGGAUUCAUGGGGCCACAGGCCAGGCUGCCCGGCAACUGACCGCUGAGGGAGUCCUGGUAGCCCAGCUGGGGCAGGCGUGGAGGUUUCUAGGCCUAACCGUGGCUCAAUCUGGAUUAAGGGUGAGUUGAUGGUCCGUGUUAGGUGGGCAGGAGCCUCUUCCCUGAGCCCGGGGUCUUAUCCUAUACACCAUGGGGAGAUGAGAGCUGCCCAGACCCCUGGGGCCCCUCUGGGUCAGUCCAAGGAGAGGUGGCUGCUUACGUGUCUUGAAACGUGGAAGCAGUAUGGCCCCAGGGAAAGGGACCUGGAUUUGGAGUCCUGCUUAUGUCUGAUUCUUACUCGCUUGCUGUGUAACCUCAGGUGAGUUGUUCAACUUCUCUGAGCUUCAGAUUCCUUCUUGGUAGAAUGAAGCUUUUUCUAGAACCUCCAUCUUGGGGCUGGGAGAGAACGUGCAGGCAAACAGCCAGUGCAGGGCAGGUGGGGCGCUCACAGAAUUGGCUGUGCAGGUGCACGGAGGCCGCCGCCCCAGGGAAAGGGGUGGCUGAGAGCAGCGGGAAGAGCAGGCUGCCUUCCUGAGGAGCUAACUGGAGAGGACGCCCUGGAUGUCCCCAGCAGCUAUUCUCCAGGGCGCUGUCCAGGUCUGGCCUCUGUUUUCAGUCUUUCUCUUCAGGGCAUGGGAGGUCCCUGAACUUGGAAAGCAAGGGAUCACCUCCCACAGCCGCCAGCAGACAGGACGAGGUAAGUGCCCCGGGCUCCAGGCUCAGGUCCACUAAGGCCCCAACCGCUGUGGGUGUGCACAAUCAUACCCAUAGGUGCACGCAUGCAAGUGUGCAUGGAGACAUCCUGCAAAUCCACCGUCAGGCGUGUAUGCAAAGCCCAGGCCCCAGGGCACCUCACAGAUGUGCGGGACAUACAGAGGCGGGACGUGCGGGCACAGCACGUGUGCACACACCUGCACGCUCACGCGCACACACGCUUGCACAUUCCAGUGAAUGCCCACUGAGCAAGGGCUGCAAAAGCCUCUACAGCAUUUGCAUGUGGAGCUCCCCAGAGCCACCGCCCGGUCCCCACCCUUGAGCUUAUAGACUGGCAAGGAUGCCAGUGAUGCCAGUGGAAAUCAGGACAGCUCCUGAUACACUGUCAUGAGAACCCUCACACUGACCCCUGGAGUCAAGAGUCUCUAUACAGACGGGGAAGUGGGUUCCUAGGGGCGACACCCGCUGCUGAAGUCCCAGAGCCAGUCUCUUCCGAGCCUGCUGUCUGCCUGGCUGACGCACCUGGAGGAGCGGCUGUGCUGGGAGCCCCACUGGCAGCCCCCCAAAGUCAGCUGGCCUUUACCUCCUGCAGUCUGCUCUGGAGAGGACCCUCGUAAGAUGCCCGGGCCCCUUUCUAGGCCACAGCCAUCACCUGGGACUGAAGCCCUAGACCGUAUUUUCCCGAAACCUCGAGGCCCGGAUGCGACAGCAGCACAGAGAGCCCCAGGCUUGGCACCCCGGCUCCCACUGAUCUUUUUCCUUCAGUCACCCAGUCAGAUGUUGUCCUACCUAAUCCCUUGCCCUCCACCCAAAGGCUCCAGUAGGUGUGGAAUGAACGUUUGAGGAUGACGUGGGUGAUGGUGGGGCUGUGGGCCCACGUAGAAUCUCACCUGGAUCCCCACUGGCCCUCUCUGAGCCUUAGAUGCUGACCCUUGGUGAGCCACAGAGGGUCCCCAAGGGCCGCUCUAGCACCCUGGUGACCUGACUCCCAGGCUGGGGGGAGCCAUUGCUCUCCAGGGUGUCCUGAGAGUCCCUCAGUGUGGUCUCUGCACCCUGCACCCAGCCCCGCGGGCCCCAGCGCUAAGCUGCCUGGGCAUGGAGGGCAUCCGCCCACACUCACAGGGAAGGACUUCCCAGCCCUGGGUCCCGCUGUGGGCUAGCAGCAGGUGCUCAGCGUCCAUUUCUUAGAAUCCCUGCAAGGUGGGGGGUGAGCUCAUUUACGGGAAAAGGAGCUGGGGGGCUCUCUUCGCACCCAGCUCUGCAGGGGGCGGCAAGUGCGUCAGCAGCCUCAGCGCCCAGCCUGCCUCCGGAAACGCCGCCCAGGGUGCAGUCACGAACCCAGCAGAGCAGGGGGCCCGCCAGAGCGCCGAGGGAGGUCAGGUGACCCUCGAGGAAGCUGGGCUGGGGCCCGAGGCUGCACCAGAGUGCACAAUGAGGUCAACUUCCCCCUUCCCGGCCUGCUCCCCCACUCUGGCUCUCAGGUUGGCUGUCUCUCCAGCUGACUGUCCAGCCAUCUGCUGUCGCCAGGCCCAGCCUAGGCUCUGGGUCCCUGCAGGCUUCCCUGAGGCUGCGUUCCAUCAAUACCAGCUUCCAAGGGGCUCCUGUGCAAGGGUCCUAGGCUAUUUAAAGCCCGCCACGGCCGUGGGAAACUUCUUCAGAUGUGUGGUUUCGGCUUCUCCAGCAGGGACCCUGUCUGCCUGUUCUCGAGUCUGGUGACUCAUUCAGAGAAGAAAGUGGUGGAGCAACCUCGAACCCAGGCCGUGCGGUUCCAGAGCCUGUGCCUGGACCUCGGCACCGGCGACGACAAAGGUCUGGGCUCCGGAAGGCCUCAGUCCCCCAGUGAGCAGGCUCUGUGCAACCCCAGGUCCACAGAGAAGACCCAGGUUCUUAAAGAAGGUUGAUGACAGCAGGUCAGUAGAUCCGGGUGUCGGCGGAAGCUUCGGCUGUGGCCUGUCGCUGGGUGAGUCUUCCCGUCACCAGGUAGUGGCUGGCUGCAGAGAGGAAUAGCAUGUGAGACAUGCAGGCUGCGGCCCAGGGAGCCCUCUCCUUUUCGGGAGACAUUUGGCUUCUACCAACCCCGCGCUCUGCCACAUGGGUGGUUCUCCAAGACAGGGCCAACAGGUAGUCAGAAGGAGGCGGUGUGACCAGGGCAGGUUGCUCCUGCUCAAGCCUUUGCAACUCCAUUACCCCCAGGGAGGCCAGAGACGGAGAGUGACUUGACAAAGGUCACACAGCUACACUGUGGAGGGUGCGGUGGGGGGGCAUCCCUUGACGGGGGCUGAGCCUGGGGGCUUGGGCUGGGGUGGGGAGGCAGACGGAAGACUGUACAGCCGAACCCCCACUGCUAGCCCAUUUUCUCGCCGAAAGGCUCAGACACAGGAAGAGUCAUCUCUACCAAGCCGCAGCUGUAGGCCUCAAAGCACAAAGCCACAAAUUCUCAGAGCACUUGAGGUCCUGGCUGGCCCCAGAGCCCGGGUGUCUCCCACUGUACAGAGGGGAAGGCUGAGGCCUGGCAAGGGAGGGGCCUGGCCCAGAGCCCUCAAAGGAGGCCACACCAGAGCAGGGCCCGGAACCCAGCAUCCUGCCUCGGGGACCAGCACCACAGAAACGGGUGUAUCCAGGCCAGCGUCCAGCUCCAGUCCAUCUGUAACACCACAGGCCUGCCAGCCACAUUCUCCUGCUGCAGCCCACCUGUGCCUUCGGGUUCGGCUUUGGCAGCGAGGGGGGCCAAGGACACGACCCUCUGCUACCCAGGAGAGUCCUAGAGCGGGCCCGGCCAGGCCAGAGCUGAGCGCUGUGCCCUGGGAGGCUUUGGCAGGGUGCACAGCUGCUUCCAGAAGCUCUGAGCCUGAGGAGGAGCUGCGUGCAGCUUGCUCUCAGCCCUUUGCAGUUGGUAGAGCAAAGGAGGACAAGUGAGAAGCCAGAGGCCCCCGUGUGACUAAGAAAAGACAAAAACCAUAAAAUGCAUUUGUCUUCUUUUUAUUUAUUUAUUGAUUUCCCUUUUGGUGCUGGGCUCAGGAGGCUGAGUCCUGCAGGGGCAGAAACCUCCCUGGAAUUCCAAACAGAAGUCAGGGAGGUGCUGAGACUGUGGAGGCUGCAGACCACAGAGGACAAGGCACCUGUCCAGGCUCACACGGCGAGUUUGGGCCGCGCCAGCCUGCCGUCCCCAGCCAGCACUUAGCUGUGAUUGCGCCUGGCUUGCCCGGGGCCCCAGGACCAUUCGUACAGGCAGGUCUGGGAGACUGUCCGUGCCUCUGGAGCUCAAGGCCGGUGAGGGGAAUCCCGAGGCCAGACAGCACGGGAACCACGUGCCCCCUCCUCACCCGCUUCCUAGCCCUGCCUUUUGCAAAUGACAGAAUGUCUGCCCAGGGGCCCCAGGCGGGUUCUAGACCAGCUCAGACAAAAAAUUUCCCCUGUGGUUUGGAAUGGAGCUUGGCCAUCAUUUCCUGGGCCCUGUGAGGGGUGUGGGCCGGCCGGGAGGCCGGGAAGGGGCUGCACCUGCCACGGGGGAAGGGGAGGGCCUGGCAUGAGCGGCUGCUUGCUGAGAGCCCCCAGCCUGGCCAGGACACAGGCUGGCUGUGCGACUUCCGCCAGUUCCUCUGGAGGGCCCAGCCCAUCCAGGCUGUGGUUUUAAAUACUUUGCCCUCCCGAAGGACCGGAGGGACACCUGUGAGGCUGACACAGGUGUAUUAGGGGAGAGGCAGGGCUUUAACUCACUUAGAUCUAAGGUUAAAUUCUAGCUCCAUCACUUACUUGCUGUGCAGCCUUGGGCAAGUGACUUUAUCUCUCUGAGCCUCCACCUCGUGUCAAGGAUACUAACGAUCACAUGAUCUGAGGACUUUUAUUCUGCCACACAUGUUUCCAGAUGAUCCCUCCCUGACACGGCUCAUCUACCCUCUGGGGUGGGGGCGCUUGUGAUGACGCCUUGUGGGAGAGGGGUGAAAGAGGUCUGAGUGAUCCCCAGCUGUUGGACUCCAGAUCCUGUGGUCUUCAGAAGCUGCCUAAAGGAGCAACACCUGGGAAGAGUAAAUGAGCUCAUCUGAGACAAGCUCACGGUGCUCAGCACGUUGUAUUGUUUUGUUGUUGUUGCUAUUAUUCAUUGCUCCUGUUUCUGCGUGGCUCCCCCAGCGCCUCCGCGAGAGCCCCCACCAAGCCCCUCUGUCCGCCAGCCGCCACGGCUGGACCCUCGCUGCAGACCUGAGGCAGAGGCCACGUCCCAGGGCCACAUGCGGCUCUCGGGACACAGUCCCCGGCUGUCCUCUGGCUCCUCUCCCGGGGCCAGCUGCCUCUUGCCAGUGGGAAGCUGGGGCACUGGGGCCUUGGGAGCAGACUCCUAGUUUAACCCACGCCCUGAGGCGGGCUCUUUCCUGGGGGAAAUCCUUGGUCACUGCCCAGACACCCUCUGCAACGCCUCCCUCCAGGCCAGGCGGCAGAUCAGCCGUAUUCCAAGGUGCCCUGGAAGCUCCCCAGGAGGGGAGCACCCCACAGGGAGCCCAAGGCAGGGUGGCAGGGGUGACAAGGUGAGGAGGCCACCACCAAGGUAGAUUUGUCCCUCACCUCUCUGGGGUUUGAAAGGUGAGCAGAGAAAUGAAAGGAGUGCCCCCAAGCGUUGUCUGUGCCCACCCCUCAGCUGGCUGGGUUGGCCCUAGACAUCUGCUCGUGCAGCAGGCAUUUACAAGGCACCUGCCAGAGGCCAGGUGUGCCGGGCACCUGCAAGCACCUGCGUGCCACCAUCUAGCCCACCCCACCUCUGACCUCUGCCGGGGCCUCUGAGCCCCUAACUCUCCUCACUUGCCAUCGUCCCCCAGGGCGGUGAAGCUGACUUUGGUUCUUCAGGUGAAAAUCACACCCACAUCAGCCACCCACAGGAAGGAAGAGUCGGUGUCUGCGUCUUCUGGAAGCUGUUCCGGCUGCACAGGUGUGACUUCAAAUACUGGCUGUCGGUAGGUGUCUCCUAUGCCCUGUGUCCUGCUCAGCUCCAGGAAGAAAUGCCCUCGGCACAGGGCUCCAAGACCCACCGCACCCGUGACUCUACCAGCACAGCACACAGACUGUGCCUGACUCCACGCGUUCACCCUUUUCAUUCGCAAGCCCCCUUCUGCUCCAGGUGCUGUACAGACAGGAAAGGCAAAACUCGGAGCUGUCAAACGGCACCCUGUGGCCACAUAGCCGGAACCCUAGAUCUUCCCCGCUCCGAAGCUCAGUCCUGAACCUCUGGGCCACAGCCCAUUUUCCCAGCAUUCCUUCUCCUGACCCAUCGUGCCUGGGGGCUCUUCCAGGGGGCAGGACCUGGGUGUGAGGAGCAGGGGCUGCCUGGCCUCUCUCCACCCCCAUGGGUGCUCAGGAGAUGCCUAUGAACCAGCAAUCCCGUUGUCAUCAAAACAAAACUGCGGGUGCACGUGCUCCAAAAGAAGGUGUCAAUGAAACGACACGCGGAAGAUUGACGCUCUGGUGGAGAAGACGUGGAACGGAUUGUUUCUUUUUUCCCCUGUGCUUAUCUGUGUUUUCAGACUUGGAUACCAGAGGGUCUGGGCAGGCUUGGUCUACCCUGGUGGAACUGGUCAUUCCUGUCAAGAAGCAACAGGGAGAAGGACGGCAGCCUCAGCUUCGAGGACAAGUGGUCAAGAGUGAGGAUCUCGAGGGGACAAACAGGCCUAGGCGAUCCAGCUCCGCUGCUCCCCUAGAGUAUUUCCUGGGGGCCUCAGCAGCCUCAUCUGCAGAGUGGGGCUCUGCAGGGCCCUUGUGGGGACCGAAUGACACCUGUGUACAGAAUGACCCAGCAGUCCCUGGCACAACACAGUAGUACCCAGGCAGCACCAGCUUUGGGUCACUCCAGGAUGGCAAGUUGGCUGGCAGGAUGGGGACCCAAGCCCCUGGCUGUAAGGUCAGAAGUCGCAGUUCAAGUGUGGGGACAGGGACAGUCUCUGUGCUGCCCCUGCCACACCCAGCUGCUGCUUCCAGGCUCGCUGUCCCACCUCGAAACCACAGGGACCACAGCUGGACCACAGACAGGCCUCCCUGCGGGGUUUUAGCACCUUCCUGGCACGGGGGCCUGGCCCCCUCUGCCCACCCCCCAGCCCCGCCCCGGCGGGCUCAGGCCCCCGGGAAACUGGAGGACCAGCAGAGUUCUCCUUCUCGCUCUCCGUCUGAGUCAGCCCACCACACCUUGGAGGUGACUCAGAGGAGGCAAAGCCCCGAGCCACACCCUGCUGAUGGAGGGCCAGGAGCUUCACCCCAGGCCCGGGCUCUCAGGGUCUGCCCUGCCCCACCCCAGGAAGAGGAGACUGCAGACCAGAGGGAUGCGAAGGACAGAAAAGAGCAGGAUAGAGCCUCAAGCGGCCGACCAGGACCCUAGGGAAAUCCCAGAGUCCCGGAGAAACUUUGCCUGGUUCCAAAGCCAGACAAAGCCGGGACCUCACCGUGAUCUGGUGGGGACUCGGGGAGAUGGGGUGCCCCAUCCUUCCCAUUGCUCAGUUGCUUGUUUGUCCAGCAAAUACGUGGGAAGCGCGUGCCUGCACCAGGCGCUGGGCCGGCUGGGAGGCUGGAGAUGAGUCAGGUCUGCUCCCUGGGGGGCUCGCAGUCUGCCGGAGGAGACAGACACAGAGACAAAUAAUUAAAGGCAUGAAUGAAAGCCUUUGAGAUGAAGACACAUGGGAUUGCUAAACGCGGAGAGACCACUGAGACAAUAAAUUCAGCUGUGUGGGGCCUUGAACUAGAGGGGCACGCAGGGCUCUCCAUGGAGCACAGGCCGGGCGGGUGGAGCUGAGGAUGCGGGAGACCCCACUCCUCACCACUCACCUGGGAAUGUUACUUCCUCCUAAAUAUGAGAUAAAAGUUUGGGACUGGAGGGUUCAAACAGCUCCACAGCUAGGCCUCGACCUGCAGCCCGCUUUCUUCACGACCUUAAGCAAUCCCUCCUCUGAGCUUCACUUGCUCACUGGCUACUCAGGGGUCCAGCCUUGAAGAUGAUCACAGGAGCGAAUCCUUGCUGGAUGUUCACCAUGCGCCUGGCAUCCCGCCAAGCACUUUGCAUACCUUAGCUCCUUGCUCCACCUCUACAUCCGCCCCGUGAGGUAAGACCUAUUAAUAGGAGAAGCCUCUCAUCCAAUGAGCAAAACCACUGGUUGUUAAUAGAA